GUGCUCACUUCAGCAGCACAUAUACUAAAAUUGGAGCAAUACAGAGAUUAGCAUGGCCCCUGAGCAAGGAUGACAUGCAAAUUCUCAAAGUAUCCCAUAUUUUU
rnacentral:snRNA from 1 species